rnacentral:tRNA from 1 species
GGCCUGCUAGCUCAGUCGGUUAGGGCGUCGUGCUAAUAACGCGAAAGUUGUAGGUUCGAUCCCUGCGCAGGCCA